UACGUAGGGUGCAAGCGUUAAUCGGAAUUACUGGGCGUAAAGCGUGCGCAGGCGGUUUUGUAAGUUUGUCGUGAAAUCCCCGGGCUCAACCUGGGAAUGGCGAUGGAGACUGCAAGGCUAGAGUGUGUCAGAGGGGGGUAGAAUUCCACGUGUAGCAGUGAAAUGCGUAGAGAUGUGGAGGAACACCGAUGGCGAAGGCAGCCCCCUGGGAUAACACUGA
rnacentral:rRNA from 1 species